rnacentral:rRNA from 1 species
AUUGAACGCUGGCGGCAGGCCUAACACAUGCAAGUCGAACGAGUGGCGGACGGGUGAGUAAUGUCUGGGAAAAUGCCUGGUGGAGGGGGAUAACUACUGGAAACGGUAGCUAAUACCGCAUACCAUCAGAUGUGCCCAGAUGGGAUUAGAUUGUUGGUGGGGUAACGGCUUACCAAGGCGACGAUCCCUAGCUGGUCAGAGAGGAUGACCAGCCGCACUAGAAAGAUGUCACUGUCCAACUUCCUACGAGAGGCACGAGUGGCGAUUAUUGCACACUGGGCCUAAGCCUUCUGCAUCCAUGCCGCGUGUAUGGAGAAGGCCUUCGGGUUGUAAAGUACUUUCAGCUGGGAGGCGUUUCCCGCAGGAGAAGCACCGGCUAACCCCGUGCCAGCCGCCGCGGUAAUUC